rnacentral:rRNA from 1 species
GUGACAAAUGCCCUGCUUCCAGGAAAAGCCUCUAAGCAUCAGGUAACAUCAAAUCGUACCCCAAACCGACACAGGUGGUCAGGUAGAGAAUACCAAGGCGCUUGAGAGAACUCGGGUGAAGGAACUAGGCAAAAUGGUGCCGUAACUUCGGGAGAAGGCACGCUGAUAUGUAGGUGAAGCGACUUGCUCGUGGAGCUGAAAUCAGUCGAAGAUACCAGCUGGCUGCAACUGUUUAUUAAAAACACAGCACUGUGCAAACACGAAAGUGGACGUAUACGGUGUGACGCCUGCCCGGUGCCGGAAGGUUAAUUGAUGGGGUUAGCGGUAACGCGAAGCUCUUGAUCGAAGCCCCGGUAAACGGCGGCCGUAACUAUAACGGUCCUAAGGUAGCGAAAUUCCUUGUCGGGUAAGUUCCGACCUGCACGAAUGGCGUAAUGAUGGCCAGGCUGUCUCCACCCGAGACUCAGUGAAAUUGAACUCGCUGUGAAGAUGCAGUGUACCCGCGGCAAGACGGAAAGACCCCGUGAACCUUUACUAUAGCUUGACACUGAACAUUGAGCCUUGAUGUGUAGGAUAGGUGGGAGGCUUUGAAGUGUGGACGCCAGUCUGCAUGGAGCCGACCUUGAAAUACCACCCUUUAAUGUUUGAUGUUCUAACGUUGGCCCGUAAUCCGGGUUGCGGACAGUGUCUGGUGGGUAGUUUGACUGGGGCGGUCUCCUCCUAAAGAGUAACGGAGGAGCACGAAGGUUGGCUAAUCCUGGUCGGACAUCAGGAGGUUAGUGCAAUGGCAUAAGCCAGCUUGACUGCGAGCGUGACGGCGCGAGCAGGUGCGAAAGCAGGUCAUAGUGAUCCGGUGGUUCUGAAUGGAAGGGCCAUCGCUCAACGGAUAAAAGGUACUCCGGGGAUAACAGGCUGAUACCGCCCAAGAGUUCAUAUCGACGGCGGUGUUUGGCACCUCGAUGUCGGCUCAUCACAUCCUGGGGCUGAAGUAGGUCCCAAGGGUAUGGCUGUUCGCCAUUUAAAGUGGUACGCGAGCUGGGUUUAGAACGUCGUGAGACAGUUCGGUCCCUAUCUGCCGUGGGCGCUGGAGAACUGAGGGGGGCUGCUCCUAGUACGAGAGGACCGGAGUGGACGCAUCACUGGUGUUCGGGUUGUCAUGCCAAUGGCACUGCCCGGUAGCUAAAUGCGGAAGAGAUAAGUGCUGAAAGCAUCUAAGCACGAAACUUGCCCCGAGAUGAGUUCUCCCUGACUCCUUGAGAGUCCUGAAGGAACGUUGAAGACGACGACGUUGAUAGGCCGGGUGUGUAAGCGCAGCGAUGCGUUGAGCUAACCGGUACUAAUGAACCGUGAGGCUUAACCUUACAACGCCGAAG